UGAGGAAUAUUGGACAAUGGAUGGAAAUCUGAUCCAGCCAUGCCGCGUGCAGGAAGACGGCCCUAUGGGUUGUAAACUGCUUUUGUAUGGGAGCAAUAAGGUCUAUGCGUAGACUGAUGAGAGUACCAUACGAAUAAGCAUCGGCUAACUCCGUGCCAGCAGCCGCGGUAAUACGGGGGAUGCAAGCGUUAUCCGGAUUUAUUGGGUUUAAAGGGUGCGUAGGCGGUUUGAUAAGUCAGCGGUGAAAUAUUUCAGCUUAACUGAAAGGGUGCCGUUGAUACUGUCAGGCUUGAAUAUGGUUGCUGUGGGUGGAAUGUGUGGUGUAGCGGUGAAAUGCUUAGAUAUCACACAGAAUAUCGAUUGCGAAGGCAGCUCACAAAGCCAUUAUUGACGCUGAUGCACGAAAGUGUGGGGAUCAAACA
rnacentral:rRNA from 1 species